UGAAAUGGCUCUCCUGUUUCUUUUUAGACUC
rnacentral:piRNA from 1 species